AGAGUUUGAUUCUGGCUCAGGAUGAACGCUGGCGGCGUGCCUAACACAUGCAAGUCGAGCGGAGAUAAGUUGAAGCCUAGCGAUUCUUAUCUUAGCGGCGGAUGGGUGAGUAACACGUGGGUAACCUGCCCUGGUACUGGGGAAUAACAGCUGGAAACGGCUGUUAAUGCCGCAUAUGCGCACGGAGCCGCAUGACUCUGGGCGGAAAGAUUUAUCGGUACAGGAUGGGCCCGCGCCGGAUUAACUAGUUGGCGGGGUAACGGCCCACCAAGGUGAUGAUCCGUAGCCGACCUGAGAGGGCGACCGGCCACAUUGGGACUGAGACACGGCCCAAACUCCUACGGGAGGCAGCAGUGGGGGAUAUUGCACAAUGGGGGAAACCCUGAUGCAGCGACGCCGCGCGAAGGAUGACGUAUUUCGGUAUGUAAACUUCUAUCAGCGGGGAAGAAGAUGACGGUACCCGACUAAGAAGCCCCGGCUAACUACGUGCCAGCCGCAGC
rnacentral:rRNA from 1 species